GCUCCGACAGUUUCAAUGGAGUGGAACUAACUGUUAAAGCCUGUUGGAAGACAGCAGUUCCAAUGGAGUGGAGUGCUCAUCAUGAACCCAAUCCUUGGCCAUGGCCUCCUUUUCUUUUCCCCCAUGAACUCAUCUCAUCAUUCCAAUAGGAUUCUCUUCUGAUACACUGUUGAGGACAUGGAGAUGGGCCUGCUUCCCCAGAGGGGAUCCAAUGCUUGUUGUGAGAUGCACAUCAUCCAUGAUGCUCUCACAUUGGCUGCAGAGGAGAAGCUGCCUUUCACAGGUUCUGGAGCUGACUUUUCAGAACAGAGAAGAAUCCAGUAUGAUCCUUGAAAGGGAAACAGUCUUGUUUACAAUUCUAAACUUCACGCAGACUAUUUCAGGUUGUUUGAGUCGACAAGAAGGUACAAAUUAUAUAUUUUAUCCUCUAAAUACUUGACAAACAACUUAUUUCUAUGACAGUUCUAUUGACUGAGUAGGAAGGUUGAAGUUAUCCUGCCAAAGAACACAGCCAACACAAUGGUUUUUUCUACAAAGAUAAUCCAAUCUUAUUAGAUUCAUUUUUAAGUUCAUACGAUAAGAUUCCAAUGCUGAACUUAAAGUAAAUCAGAUACACCACCGCGGCCUAAGCUUCGAUCACUAAUCUAACCAAUGGAACAAUUGAUUUAUAAAAUAACAUACCAUAAUAUUUUUCUUUCUUUAUCAUCCUUUCUCUUUUUUCUAAUUCCACACUCUCUCUCUCUCUCUCUCUCUCUCUCUCUCUCUCUCUCU